rnacentral:rRNA from 1 species
CCGAACCGACUAAUGUUGAAAAAUUAGCGGAUGACCUGUGGCUGGGGGUGAAAGGCCAAUCAAACCGGGAGAUAGCUGGUUCUCCCCGAAAGCUAUUUAGGUAGCGCCUCGUGAAUUCAUCUCCGGGGGUAGAGCACUGUUUCGGCUAGGGGGCCAUCCCGGCUUACCAACCCGAUGCAAACUGCGAAUACCGGAGAAUGUUAUCACGGGAGACACACGGCGGGUGCUAACGUCCGUCGUGAAGAGGGAAACAACCCAGACCGCCAGCUAAGGUCCCAAAGUCAUGGUUAAGUGGGAAACGAUGUGGGAAGGCCCAGACAGCCAGGAUGUUGGCUUAGAAGCAGCCAUCAUUUAAAGAAAGCGUAAUAGCUCACUGGUCGAGUCGGCCUGCGCGGAAGAUGUAACGGGGCUAAACCAUGCACCGAAGCUGCGGCAGCGACACUGUGUGUUGUUGGGUAGGGGAGCGUUCUGUAA